AUGCACGCUGGCGGCGUGCCUCAUCCAUGCAAGUCGCGCGAACGGACGAGAAGCUUGCUUUUCUGAUGUUAGCGGCGGACGGGUGAGUAACACGUGGAUAACCUACCUAUAAGACUGGGAUAACUUCGGGAAACCGGAGCUAAUACCGGAUAAUAUUUUGAACCGCAUGGUUCAUAAGUGAAAGACGGUCUUGCUGUCACUUAUAGAUGGAUCCGCGCUGCAUUAGCUAGUUGGUAAGGUAACGGCUUACCAAGGCAACGAUGCAUAGCCGACCUGAGAGGGUGAUCGGCCACACUGGAACUGAGACACGGUCCAGACUCCUACGGGAGGCAGCAGUAGGGAAUCUUCCGCAAUGGGCGAAAGCCUGACGGAGCAACGCCGCGUGAGUGAUGAAGGUCUUCGGAUCGUAAAACUCUGUUAUUAGGGAAGAACAUAUGUGUAAGUAACUGUGCACAUCUUGACGGUACCUAAUCAGAAAGCCACGGCUAACUACGUG
rnacentral:rRNA from 1 species